CCCAUGGCUCAGAUUGAACGCUGGCGGCAGGCCUAACACAUGCAAGUCGAGCGGAUGACAGGAGCUUGCUCCUGAAUUCAGCGGCGGACGGGUGAGUAAUGCCUAGGAAUCCGCCUGGUAGUGGGGGACAACGUUUCGAAAGGAACGCUAAUACCGCAUACGUCCUACGGGAGAAAGCAGGGGACCUUCGGGCCUUGCGCUAUCAGAUGAGCCUAGGUCGGAUUAGCUAGUUGGUGAGGUAAUGGCUCACCAAGGCGACGAUCCGUAACUGGUCUGAGAGGAUGAUCAGUCACACUGGAACUGAGACACGGUCCAGACUCCUACGGGAGGCAGCAGUGGGGAAUAUUGGACAAUGGGCGAAAGCCUGAUCCAGCCAUGCCGCGUGUGUGAAGAAGGUCUUCGGAUUGUAAAGCACUUUAAGUUGGGAGGAAGGGCAUUAACCUAAUACGUUAGUGUUUUGACGUUACCGACAGAAUAAGCACCGGCUAACU
rnacentral:rRNA from 1 species